AACAAACGCUGGCGGCGUGCCUAACACAUGCAAGUCGUACGAGAAAUCCUGAGCAAUCGGGAGAGUAAAGUGGCGCACGGGUGAGUAACGCGUGGGUAACCUGCCCUUGGAUUGGGGAUAACUCUUCGAAAGGAGAGUUAAUACCGAAUAACAUCCCGGUUUCCUUGGAGAUCGGGGUCAAAGGUGGCCUCUGCAUGCAAGCUACUGUCUAAGGAUGGGCCCGCGUACCAUUAGCUGGUUGGUGAGGUAACGGCCCACCAAGGCUACGAUGGUUAGCUGGUCUGAGAGGAUGGCCAGCCACACUGGAACUGAGACACGGUCCAGACUCCUACGGGUGGCAG
rnacentral:rRNA from 1 species